AUGAAGUCCAUGCCAGCUGGUCAGUUACUAAGAAAACUACCUGAUGAUUACCAAGAAGGACCUCCAGGAAACCUCAGAUUGCCCAAGGAUCACUCACAGCCAUGGCUUGUGGUCAAGAAGCAUCUGAAGCAAGUACCAGCUCCAAAGCAUUGUAUGCUGGAUAAAUUAAUUGGUGUGUUUGCUCCUCAUCCAUCCACCAGUCCCCACAAGUUGAGAAAGUACCUCCCUGUCAUCAUUUUCCUAAGGAACAGACUUAAGUAUGCCUUGACAGGAGAUGAAGUAAAGAAGAUUUGCAUGUAGUGGUUUAUUAAGAUCAAUGGCAAGGUCCAAACUGAUGUAAUCUACCCUGCUUGGAUUCAUGGAUGUCAUCAGCAUUGACAAGACUGGAGAGAAUUUCCAUCUGAUCUAUGACACCAAGGCUCACUCUGCUGUUCAUCGUAUGAAUCUGAGGAGGCUAAACACAAGUUGUGCCAAGUGAGAAAAAUCUUUGUGGGUACAAAAGGAAUUCCUCAUCUGGUGAUUCAUGAUGUUCACACCAUCCACUGCCCUGAUCCCCUCAUCAAGGUGAAUAACAGAUUCAGAUUGAUUUGGAGACUGGUAAGAUUCCUGAUUUUAUCAAGUUCAACACUGGUAACCUGUGUAUGGUGACUAGGGGCGGGGGGGUGUGCUAAUCUGGGAAGAAUGUGUGUAGUCACCAACAGAGAGAGAUAUCCUGGAUCUUUUGAUGUGGUUCAUGUGAAAGAUGUCAAUGGCAACAGAUUUGUCACCCACCUUUCCAACAUUUUUGUUAUUCGCAAGGGCAACAAACCGUGAAUUUCUCUUCCCUGAGGAAAGGGUAUCUGCCUCUCCAUUGCUGAAGAGAGAGACAAGAGACUGGCAGCCAAACGGAGAAGUAGGUGAAAUGGUCUUUAGAGACAUGUUAGAAAGCUUUUUGUACUUAAUUAAAGAUAAUAUAGCAUGAAGAAAAGAUCAUUCAUCAUGAACAAGUGGGAUUUAUCCCAGGAAUGCAAGGAUUGUUGAACAUACACAAGUCUAUGAAUAUGAUACAUCAUACCAACAGAAUGAAAGACUAAAACCAUAUGAUCAUUUCAACUGAUGCCAAAAAAAGGAUUUGAUAAAAGUCAACAUCCCUUCGAUAAAAGAAAAACCCAAAAAAACUGGGUAUAGAAGGAACAUAACCUCAACAUAAUAAAAGCCAUAUAUAACAGACCCACAGCUAGUAUCAUACUGAAUGGGGAAAAACUGAAAGCCUUUUCUCUAAGAUCUGGAGCACAACAAGGAUGCCCACUUUUGUCACUGUUAAUAAACAUAUUACUGGAAGUCCUAGCUAGAGCAGUCAGAGAAGAGAAAGAAAUAAAGGGCCUCCAAAUUGGAAAGGAAGAAGUAAAAUUAUCAUUGUUUGAAGAUGAUACGAUCCUGUAUUUGGAAAAAUCUAAAGACUCCACACACAGAGACACACACACACACAAACUAUUAGAAGAUAAAGAAACUCAGGAAAGUUGAAGGAUACAAAAAUCAACAUACAAAAAUCAGUAGCAUUAUUGUAUGUUAACAGCAAUCUGAAAAAUAAAUCAAAAUAGUAAUCUCAUUUACAAUAGCCACAAAUAAAAUAAAAUACCUGGGAAUUAUCCAAAGAAGUGAAAGAUCUCUAUAAUGAAAAUUCUAAAAUAGUGAUGACA